rnacentral:rRNA from 1 species
AUUGAACGCUGGCGGCAGGCCUAACACAUGCAAGUCGAGCGAGCGGCGCACGGGUGAGUGAUAUCUGGGAACCAGCCUGAUGGAGGGGGAUAACUACUGGAAACGGUAGCUAAUACCGCAUACCCUCUGAUGUGCCCCGAUGGGAUAAGCUAGUGGGUGGGGUAACGGCUCACCUAGGCGACGAUCCCUAGCUGGUAUGCGAGGAUGACCAGCCACACUGGAACGGGGACACGGUCCAGACUCCUAGGGGAGGAAGCGGUGGGGAAGAUUGGACAAUGGGGGCAAUCCGGAUGCAGCCAUGCCGCGUGUGGGAAGAAGGCCUUCGGGUUGUAAAGUAUUUUCAGCGGGGAGGCGUUACCCGCAGAAGAAGCACCGGCUAACUCCGUGCCAGCAGCCGCGGUAAUUC